rnacentral:rRNA from 1 species
UACAGAGGGGGCAAGCGUUGCUCGGAAUCACUGGGCGUAAAGGGCGCGUAGGCGGGAUGGCAAGUCAGUCGUGAAAUCUCUCGGCUCAACCGAGAAACGUCGGCUGAUACUGCCGUUCUUGAGGGAUGCAGAGGAGACUGGAAUUCCCGGUGUAGCGGUGAAAUGUGUAGAGAUCGGGAGGAACACCGGUGGCGAAGGCGGGUCUCUGGGCAUUUCCUGACGCUGAGGCGCGAAAGCGUGGGGAGCAAACGGG